rnacentral:rRNA from 1 species
CAAGUCGAACGGCAGCGCGGGAGCAAUCCUGGCGGCGAGUGGCGAACGGGUGAGUAAUAUAUCGGAACGUGCCCAGUAGUGGGGGAUAGCCCGGCGAAAGCCGGAUUAAUACCGCAUACGACCUGAGGGUGAAAGCGGGGGAUCGCAAGACCUCGCGCUACUGGAGCGGCCGAUAUCAGAUUAGCUAGUUGGUGGGGUAAAGGCCUACCAAGGCAACGAUCUGUAGUUGGUCUGAGAGGACGACCAGCCACACUGGGACUGAGACACGGCCCAGACUCCUACGGGAGGCAGCAGUGGGGAAUUUUGGACAAUGGGCGCAAGCCUGAUCCAGCAAUGCCGCGUGCAGGAAGAAGGCCUUCGGGUUGUAAACUGCUUUUGUCAGGGAAGAAAUCUUCUGGGCUAAUACCCCGGGAGGAUGACGGUACCUGAAGAAUAAGCACCGGCUAACUACGUGCCAGCAGCCGCGGUAAUACGUAGGGUGCGAGCGUUAAUCGGAAUUACUGGGCGUAAAGCGUGCGCAGGCGGCUUUGCAAGACAGAGGUGAAAUCCCCGGGCUCAACCUGGGAACUGCCUUUGUGACUGCAAGGCUAGAGUACGGCAGAGGGGGAUGGAAUUCCGCGUGUAGCAGUGAAAUGCGUAGAUAUGCGGAGG